rnacentral:rRNA from 1 species
GACGAACGCUGGCGGCGUGCUUAACACAUGCAAGUCGAACGGUGAAGCUCCAGCUUGCUGGAGUGGAUCAGUGGCGAACGGGUGAGUAACACGUGAGCAACCUGCCCCUGACCCUGGAAUAAGCGCUGGAAACGGCGUCUAAUACUGGAUACGAGAAGGGUCCGCAUGGGCACUUUCUGGAAAGUUUUUCGGUUGGGGAUGGGCUCGCGGCCUAUCAGCUUGUUGGUGAGGUAAUGGCUCACCAAGGCGACGACGGGUAGCCGGCCUGAGAGGGCGACCGGCCACACUGGGACUGAGACACGGCCCAGACUCCUACGGGAGGCAGCAGUGGGGAAUAUUGCACAAUGGGCGAAAGCCUGAUGCAGCGACGCCGCGUGAGGGAUGACGGCCUUCGGGUUGUAAACCUCUUUCAGCAGGGAAGAAGCGAAAGUGACGGUACCUGCAGAAGAAGCACCGGCUAACUACGU